AAUGGUAGUCUGGCCCUGUGAGG
rnacentral:piRNA from 1 species